UAGUGGAGCGAUUUGUCUGGUUAAUUCCGAUAACGAACGAGACUCUGGCCUAUUAAAUAGUUCGCCGAUUCCGAUCUGUCGGCGUUAACUUCUUAGAGGGACAAGUGGCUUUUAGCCACGCGAGAUUGAGCAAUAACA
rnacentral:rRNA from 1 species